rnacentral:rRNA from 1 species
UGGGGAAUAUUGGACAAUGGGGGCAACCCUGAUCCAGCGAUGCCGCGUGUGUGAAGAAGGCCUGCGGGUUGUAAAGCACUUUAGUUAGGGAGGAGAAGGCUAAUGUGAAUAAUGUUAGCUGAAGACGCUACCUAAAGAAUAAGCACCGGCAAACUCUGUGCCAGCAGCCGCGGUAAUACAGAGGGUGCAAGCGUUAAUCGGAGUUACUGGGCGUAAAGAGCACGUAGGCGGUUGAUUAAGUCAGUUGUGAAAGCCCUGGGCUUAACCUGGGAACUGCAAAUGAUACUGGUUAACUAGAGUCGAAGAGAGGGAAGCGGAAUUUCCGGUGUAGCGGUGAAAUGCGUAGAUAUCGGAAGGAACAUCAGUGGCGAAGGCGGCUUCCUGGCUUCAGACUGACGCUGAGGUGCGAAAGCGUGGGGAGCAAACAGG